rnacentral:rRNA from 1 species
GGGGAAUCUUGCGCAAUGGGCGAAAGCCUGACGCAGCAACGCCGCGUGGGGGAUGACGGCCUUCGGGUUGUAAACCUCUUUCGACAGGGACGAAGGGCAACUGACGGUACCUGUAGAAGAAGCACCGGCUAACUACGUGCCAGCAGCCGCGGUAAUACGUAGGGUGCGAGCGUUGUCCGGAUUUAUUGGGCGUAAAGAGCUCGUAGGCGGUUUGUCGCGUCGGCCGUGAAAACCUGCAGCUUAACUGUGGGCGUGCGGUCGAUACGGGCAGACUUGAGUUCGGCAGGGGAGACUGGAAUUCCUGGUGUAGCGGUGAAAUGCGCAGAUAUCAGGAGGAACACCGGUGGCGAAGGCGGGUCUCUGGGCCGAUACUGACGCUGAGGAGCGAAAGCAUGGGGAGCGAAC